CAAGCUGAAGAGAAGAAGGGAAUCUUCCAGAUGGCUGUGUCUUGAAAACAAGGCGCUGCUGUGGUUGCUUCCUGCCCGACCGUGCUGCACUGCCCCAAGGGACUGGCCAGGACUAAACUCCAGUUUUCCUGGCCCAUUUUGCACCAGUCUUUUGUGUACAAGAACUACAACUCUGGAACAAACAAACAAACAAAAAAUAAAAUAAAAAAAGCAGCCUGAUCUAACCCAGAACAGUGAAUGGACAAUGACACCAAGCUGAGGAUGCCUCAACCUUGUAAAACCUUUUUCUCUCAUCUUCUGAAGAAGAAAUUCCUCUGGAGUCUUCCUCAGUUAGUUUGAAAUACACUUCUGUUGGUCAGGAGUGAAAUAUUCUUAUGAGCUUUUUUUUUUUCUGCUGGGUAUCAGAUAAGACAGUCUUUGUCCCAGCUUUUACUGGAGCUCCCAGUGUCUCUUUUGGGAAUGGUUCUGUGUGUUCAGGAAGUGGCUGGUGACCACAAUAAAACCUGUAUGACUCUGA